UACGGAGGGGGCUAGCGUUGUUCGGAAUUACUGGGCGUAAAGCGCGCGUAGGCGGCUUUGUAAGUUAGAGGUGAAAGCCCGAAGCUCAACUUCGGAAUUGCCUUUAAGACUGCAUCGCUAGAAUCGUGGAGAGGUAAGUGGAAUUCCGAGUGUAGAGGUGAAAUUCGUAGAUAUUCGGAAGAACACCAGUGGCGAAGGCGACUUACUGGACACGUAUUGACGCUGAGGUGCGAAAGCGUGGGGAGCAACAGG
rnacentral:rRNA from 1 species